rnacentral:rRNA from 1 species
AUUGAACGCUGGCGGCAUGCCUUACACAUGCAAGUCGAACGGCAGCGGACCUUCGGGUGCCGGCGAGUGGCGAACGGGUGAGUAAUAUAUCGGAACGUACCUUUCAGUGGGGGAGUAACGUAGUGAAAGUUACGCUAAUACCGCAUAUUCUGUGAGCAGGAAAGACAGGGGAGUCGCAAGACCUUGCGCUGAUUGAGCGGCCGAUAUCAGAUUAGCUAGUUGGUGAGGUAAAGGACUCACCAAGGCGACGAUCUGUAGCGGGUCGUGAGAGGAUGAUCCGCCACACUGGAACUAGAGACACGGUCCA